GGUAGCAACAUCUAAUCAUCUACAGAUCUUCAGGGCUUCAUUCAAUUAUUUAUUGUUUUCAUUCACACCACAGUCUGGUGUGAUUUGACUGACUUUCCUUGGUGAAGUCCUUCACAGGGAUUCAAAGUGCAGGGUGUAAGCCGUGCUUCUUAUCACAAGCCCACCGGGCGAGUGCUUGCUUCCUUCCUGAGCCUCUCUGUGGGCAUGACUGACAGCAACGUAGCACUUGGACUUGGGCAGUGCUGUUAUCACUGCAGAUCCUGAAAACCCUCCAAGGUGACUCUGUUAUGCAACCUAAAUUACAAAGAAGGCUGAGAAGCUACUAAAGCCUUGCAGAUAAGG